rnacentral:tRNA from 1 species
GGGGGUGUAGCUCAGCUGGGAGAGCAUCUGCUUUGCAAGCAGAAGGUCGGCGGUUCGAAUCCGCUCACCUCCA